rnacentral:rRNA from 1 species
GACGAACGCUGGCGGCGUGCCUAACACAUGCAAGUCGAGCGAGUGAAUCUCCUUCAGGAGUGAAGCUAGCGGCGGACGGGUGAGUAACACGUGGGCAACCUGCCUCAUAGAGGGGAAUAGCCUUUCGAAAGGAAGAUUAAUACCGCAUAAGAUUGUAGCUUCGCAUGAAGUAGCAAUUAAAGGAGCAAUCCGCUAUGAGAUGGGCCCGCGGCGCAUAGCUAGUUGGUGAGGUAACGGCUCACCAAGGCGACGAUGCGUAGCCGACCUGAGAGGGUGAUCGGCCACAUUGGGACUGAGACACGGCCCAGACUCCUACGGGAGGCAGCAGUGGGGAAUAUUGCACAAUGGGGGAAACCCUGAUGCAGCAACGCCGCGUGAGUGAUGACGGCCUUCGGGUUGUAAAGCUCUGUCUUCAGGGACGAUAAUGACGGUACCUGAGGAGGAAGCCACGGCUAACUACGUGCCAGCAGCCGCCGUAA